rnacentral:rRNA from 1 species
UACGGAAGGCAGCAGUGGGGAAUAUUGCACAAUGGGCGCAAGCCUGAUGCAGCCAUGCCGCGUGUAUGAAGAAGGCCUUCGGGUUGUAAAGUACUUUCAGUCGUGAGGAAGGUGUUAAGGUUAAUAACCUUAGCAAUUGACGUUAGCGACAGAAGAAGCACCGGCUAACUCCGUGCCAGCAGCCGCGGUAAUACGGAGGGUGCGAGCGUUAAUCGGAAUUACUGGGCGUAAAGGGCACGCAGGCGGUUAAUUAAGUUGGAUGUGAAAUCCCCGGGCUUAACCUGGGAAUGGCAUUCAAGACUGGUUAGCUAGAGUCUUGUAGAGGGGGUAGAAUUCCAUGUGUAGCGGUGAAAUGCGUAGAGAUGUGGAGGAAUACCGGUGGCGAAAGGCGGCCCCUGGACAAAGGACUGACGCUCAUGUGCGAAAAGCGUGGGGAGCAAACAGGAUUAGAUACC